UCCCCCGUGGUGUACUGGCCAACACGCGGGCCGCGGCCCGAACGUCGAGUUCGAUUCUCGACGGGGGCA
rnacentral:tRNA from 1 species